GGGGAGGGGGAGCUUUAGUCCCGGUGAAGCGAAUACACGUCACCACCGGAAACAGUGUCAGAGGGGAAGGGGGGGGAAGAGAGGAGGGAGCUCUGAGGGCGGUAAAAUGGCGCCUGUCAGAGUGGGAAAUCCAGCUGCAGAGGCUGCAGCCCCGCUCCCCAGCGGCUAAGGCACCUCCGGCUUCGGGGAGGGGGAGGCCGCUCCGGCCCAGCCGUCCGCGCCCUUCGGCCCCCCCUCCCCCUCCUUCCCCGCUCCCUGGCUCAGCCGGCCCGUUCGCCGCCGCCGCCGCCGCCGCCGCCGCCGCGGCCCUUCGCGCGCCGCGGCCCCCGCCCGCCCUUUCCCUCGGGCAGCCCCCUACCGCGCCUGCGCAGCGGGCCACCCUCCGCUUCCCCCUUCCCCUCCCCCCUCCCUUUUCCCUCCCUCCCUCCCUCCUCCCUGGCCCCCUCCCCCACCGCCCCCUCCCCCAAUUCUCCAUCCCCUUCCCUCCUGGUCUCGGAGGACCCCGUCCUAGCCCGACCCGUCUCGGCCCGCAACCUCCGCGAAGCCGUCGGUGCCACUCCCCGCCCAUGUGGGCCCCCGCGGGCUGCCCACGCCUGUCCCCCAGCUCCCGGUUCCGCUGGGCUUUCCCCUCGCCGGGGGUGGCUUUCUGAGCCGCCCGCUCCGCGUCCCUCUCUGCAGCCUUUCCUGCCACUCGGGGCCCCCGUUCCCCCUCCCGGCGGCGGGGGGCUGCCCCCGGGGGGCUGGCGGAGCUGGGCCGCGGGGGCCCCGGGGCCGGCGGUGCCGGGGUCAUCGGGAUGAUGCGGACGCAGUGUCUGCUGGGGCUGCGCACGUUCGUGGCCUUCGCCGCCAAGCUCUGGAGCUUCUUCAUUUACCUUUUGCGGAGGCAGAUCCGCACGGUAACCAAGGACCUCCUCUCCUGACUCCUCCUCUCAGCCCACGAAGGAAUCUGAGGCUCUCAGUUCCCAAAGGGAGGUGAUGGGGACUUGUCACAAAGGGUCCUUGGGGUGGACGUGCGGAAGGCCAUGCAUUUCUUGGUCGUGGCACACGAGACAGGAUCAUGGUCAAGAGGGCAGGUGCUUGGGUCGGACGGCACAGGAACCAACCUGGCGCCACCACCACAUCGACCCGGAUACUGACUGAGCGGCCUGUGACAGUUCUUGGGAUAAUUCAGUACCAGACUGUUCGAUAUGAUAUUCUUCCCUUAUCUCCUGUGUCCCGGAAUCGGCUAGGUCAGGUGAAGAGGAAGAUCCUGGUGCUGGAUCUGGAUGAGACACUUAUCCACUCCCAUCACGAUGGGGUCCUGAGGCCCACUGUCCGGCCUGGAACGCCUCCUGACUUCAUCCUCAAGGUGGUAAUAGACAAACAUCCCGUCCGGUUUUUUGUACAUAAGAGGCCCCAUGUGGAUUUCUUCUUAGAAGUGGUGAGUCAGUGGUACGACCUGGUGGUGUUCACAGCAAGCAUGGAGAUUUACGGUUCCGCUGUGGCAGAUAAACUGGAUAAUAGCAGGAGUAUUCUCAAGAGGAGAUACUACAGACAGCACUGCACUUUGGAACUGGGCAGCUACAUCAAGGACCUCUCUGUGGUCCACAGCGACCUCUCCAGCAUCGUGAUCCUGGAUAACUCCCCAGGGGCUUACAGGAGCCACCCAGAUCACAUUUCUCCGACUAAAUUUGCUUCAGGUGAAGCACAGUGGUAAUGACUUUGCCUAGGAGCUUCACGCUAACAUGAAGUACGGUGACUAAAAGUUGAUUUUAUUUUGGAGGAUGAAUCCAGAAGGUUUUACUUAGGUUGCUGGGUUUGGGUGGGUCGGGGAGAGGAACAUAUUUUAAAGUAACGAUCCCCGUCCCCAAAUAAAAGAAAAAUCAGCCUGUCUGUUGAACUCUCUUUUUCCUCAUGCGCAUUAAUUUUUACCCGCCCUAGACAACGCCAUCCCCAUCAAAUCGUGGUUCAGUGACCCCAGCGACACCGCCCUUCUCAACCUGCUUCCGAUGCUGGAUGCGCUCAGGUUCACCGCUGACGUCCGUUCUGUGCUGAGCCGAAACCUUCACCAACACAGGCUCUGGUGACAGCGCUCUCCCCCCACCUGAGCCAGGGUGGGGGGGACGGGGGUGAGCCCUCGCGGUGCCGUCUGCUGCCCUGUCCAGCGGUGAGGACUGUGUGGGCAGGGUCUGUCCCUCCCGUCCCUCUCUGCCCUGGGAGCCCUGCACUCCCUGUGGAGUCUGGAUGGACACGUGGGCCGGACUCUGAAGCAGCCUCACUCGAACGUCGAGUUCGUGCUCCCCGGAAACCCCAGACUGGGACAUAAGCGGAGGCCUAGGAGAGCCGAAACUGUCUGGUGGAGAGACAGGACCGGCCAGAAUGACACACAGAUGUUCGGUAAUCCGGGAGGCUCAAAGAAAAGCCAAGCGAGCUUUGUUGUGAUUUGAUUUUUUAAAAACUCUUGUACAAAACUGAUCUAAUUCUUCACUCCAAGGGCUGGGCUGUGGGUGGGAAACUGGGAUUUUUGGGCCACUGGAUUUUCCCCAAACUUGUCCCUUCCCUCCCCGCCCCCCACUUAUCCCUCUAUUUUCCCUUCUUCCUAGAUUCCCUUAGACCUGUAACCAGCUUUCUCUCUCUCUCUCUUUUUUUUUUCCUUCCUCUCUUUUAAACCAUGCAUUACAACUUUGGAAACCAAA